rnacentral:tRNA from 1 species
AAUAAGACCUGUGCUACUCACAACACAUCUCCUGAAUGCAACUCA